rnacentral:rRNA from 1 species
UACGGAGGGGGCUAGCGUUGUUCGGAAUUACUGGGCGUAAAGAGCGCGUAGGCGGCUUACCAAGUUGGGGGUGAAAUCCCGGAGCUCAACGCCGGAACUGCCUUCAAAACUGGUAGGCUCGAGUCCGGAAGAGAGGCGGCGAAUUCCCAGUGUAGAGGUGAAACUCGUAGAUAUUGGGAAGAACACCGGUGGCGAAGGCGGCGCCCUGGUCCGGUACUGACGCUGAGGUGCGAAAGCGUGUGCAGCAAACAGG